GAUCAAAAGCCAAUGAUGAUUUUUUUGGUACCCAGAUCUGAACAUUCCAUGUGGAAAAUGUUAAACUGAGGCUUUUGAUC